CCCACUUCCAGCGGCGGCGGCGGCGGCCGAGGGGCUCUGGCUGCUGCUGCUGCUGCUGCUGCCGCUGCCGCCCGGCAUGAAAAGUUACCGCCGCGGCGGGCAGGAUGCGCGGCGCCACGCAUACGGAUUAACUGACCCCUUUGACAAGUUUAUGGAGCUGCCAUCUCUCUGCUUGCUGUACUUUCCAUUUCUGAGAGGAGAAAGUGGUGUAUGAGAUUAGAGGAAAAUGCCUCGGACAAAGCAGAUACAUCCCAGAAAUCUGAGAGACAAAAUUGAAGAAGCACAAAAACAACUUAAUGGAACGGAAGACCAACAGAGAGAAAUCACUGAUGCUGGUACUAGAGGAACCCAAGAUGCAAUUAAGGGUGUGAAAAGAAAAAAGAUUGUGACUGAAAACCAUCUAAAAAAAAUACCAAAAUCGCCUUUGAGAAGCCCCGCCGAAACCAAGGUUAAGCAAAACGUAGACCCUCCGCCGCUAAAAGCUCUUCCGGAUGCCUCCGAACACACCACAGCACAGGAUCACCUACCCGUGCAAAAUGGAAAUCAGUGUACCAAACAAAACGGGGGAGCACUUAGUAGCGAGAUAAGUGCUGAAACAACCAAAUCUGAGACAUCAAUGCAGACAAAGCUCUCGUUGACGCAUCAGUCCUUAGAUUUGGGUAAACAGGCAGCGGAGGAUACUGAUGCAAACCAACGGAACUCACCAGAGAAGAAAUCUCUCUCAAACUCCUCAUCAAGUAAAACAAAGACUGACAGUAAUGAAUGUAUUAAUUUUGUUGAUUGCAGUACGUCAUCCCCGUGUACACGUACUGCAUUCGAUGUCUUAUUAAAAGCUAUGGAGCCUGAACUGAACACCUUAGCACAAGAGUGCCCCCCUUACGGGAUGCAGAUAGAGAAACUGAGACCAAAUAGAACUGUAAGCACCUCUUCUAGUCUCACGUCCAAUACAAUGAGCGUCCAAAAUCAGUCUGCUUUGCCGCAGCGUGAGUUUGCAACUGGACCUCACUAUUACCCGUGUGCGUUAAACAAUGUGCAUGUAGCAACAACAACCAAAACUGGACAAGCACAAGGCCAAUCAGUUUCUCAUUCACAAGACCUUAUUACUAAAACCAGUCAACAAAAUCACCAGGUUGUUAUGUGUCCAAGUUUCACUAGGUCACUGGUGCAACAGCAGAGUCAAGAAAACCCCAAGGUCCAGCAGAUAUACAGCAUAGCAGUAACUUCGUCUGUCGUUCACACCUCAUCUUCCACUGUAACUCAGGUUUUUCCGCAAAGCCAGUUAGUAGCUAGUUCGUCUACACCUUUGUCAAUUAGCACAUCGAGUUCAACGCACUUGUCUAUAGGUCCCAUGUAUAAUUCAGCCCAGAUAGCAUCAGUUGUAAACCAUGGUGUAGAACAAAUAUGUAACCUCUUGAAAGACCAGAAGCCUAAAAAGCUAGGGAAAUACGUCUGUGAGUAUUGCAAUCGGGCCUGUGCCAAGCCCAGCGUUCUCCAAAAGCACAUCCGAUCCCAUACUGGAGAGCGACCGUAUCCUUGUGUGACAUGUGGGUUUUCAUUUAAAACCAAAAGCAAUCUGUACAAGCACAAAAAAUCUCAUGCACAUGCUAUCAAACUUGGACUUGUCCUACAACCAGAUUCGGGUGGCCUCUUCUUAUCUCAUGACUCGGACAAAGCACUUAGCAUUCAUUCAGAUGUGGAAGAAAGCGGUGAAAGCGAAGAUGACGGCACUGCUGAUGAAAGGCAAGAUGACCAAGAACUGGAACCUGCGCAAAUAGUGAAAGUCAUUUCGAGUGCAGAAACGUUGCGGAAAGGAAGCCCCAUUCCAUUAAGUAACCCAGAUUGUAUACCAGGUGACUCUUCCUUACAUGACACAGAACCUCAAGUAAGGGCAGCUUUACCAAAAGUAGUGGUUCAUCCUGUAAAUGUUUCUCCGUUAAGGGCCGAUAGCCCGAAAGUAACAGAACCAGCACCUGAGCUUGCUGCAGCACAGAGAAAAGGAGAUUUUAAAGUGACAGCUCUUCCGUCAACACAUACAGCCUCAUACAAGGAGAAUGACAUAAAGCAACAUCAGAAAGUAGAAAUGGGCCUAUUAGAGGAACAGCUGGGAUCUGCGGUCGGAGCAGUGCACGCUCAGCUCCAGAGACAGCAGGCAACUGAUGGUUCCCAAGACCAGCAAGGAAAAUGUCUUUUGAGCCCUAGAAGUUUAGGUAGUACUGAUUCUGGUUAUUUCUCUCGUUCUGAAAGUGCCGAGCAAACAAUGAGCCCACCAGCUCCUUUCGUAAGAGGAUUGUUGACCUCUGAGAAAGAUCCAAAUAAAAACCUGCCCUGUGUGCCGCGCGCAAGUGGCGUGGUAGCAUCAGUGGUACAGACUGUUUGUGCUGAAAAAAAUCUGAUUCUCUCUGGCCAAAUGCGACCUCCCAUGGCAACAAAAACACUUGAGGAGCGUAUCUCAAAGUUAAUUUCUGAUAAUGAAGCCGUUGUGGAUGACAAACAGUUAGAUAGUGUGAAACCAAGAAGAACAUCUCUUUCGAGAAGAGGCAGCAUAGAUUCACCAAAAUCCUACAUAUUUAAGGACUCUUUCCAGUUUGAUUUAAAGCCCAUGGGAAGAAGAACUAGCUCAAGCUCUGAUAUACCAAAGUCUCCUUUCACACCCACUGAGAAAUCAAAGCAAGUUUUUCUUCUUUCUGUACCAUCCCUUGACUGUUUACCUAUAACACGAAGUAAUUCCAUGCCUACUACCAGUUACUCAGCAGUACCUCCAAAUGUAAUACCUCCCUCUCAUCCCCUUCGAGGAAGUCAGUCGUUUGAUGAUAAAAUUGGCUCUUUAUACGAUGAUGUUUUUGUAUCAGGACCUGCUACUCCACUGAACCAAGGUGGACAUCCUCGGACCCUUGUUAGACAGGCAGCAAUAGAAGAUUCUUCUACUGGCGAAAGCCAAGUUCCUGGACCGGUGCGAUCCGUAGAAGAAAGUUAUCUGGGGUGUAAUGUAUCAAGUGAAUCUUUACUGCAAAGGAGCAAGUCCCUGGCACAGGGAUCAAAUUUAGAAAAAACAAAGAAGUCCCCUCAGGUGCGAGGAACAAUGUUUGAGUGUGAAACCUGCAGAAACCGAUACAGAAAACUGGAAAAUUUUGAAAACCACAAGAAAUUCUAUUGUUCGGAGUUGCAUGGACCUAAAACUAAAGCAGCAAUCCGAGAGCCUGAGCAUAAAACUGUUCCGAACAGUACACAGCCUCAAAUUCUACACUACAGAGUCACUACUUCAACUGGCGUCUGGGAGCAGACACCCCAGAUAAGAAAAAGAAGGAAAAUGAAGAGUGUUGGUGAUGAUGAUGACCCACAGCAAAAUGAUACCAGCAUACCAUCAAAGAACACAGAAAGCCAAAGCAAGCCAGUAAAUUCUUCCAGUCUGCCAAAACACAGUGCAACAACAGUGGUAGGAUCGCAACAGCCAAGCAACCUUCUACUUCAAAGUUCCCAAAUUCAGCUUGUGGCUCGAGGCACAGAUCAGACUACGGAGCCAAAGAUGGGUCCGCUCAUUGAAAAGCAGGCAAGUUCAGCUGUGCAAGAAAAGGUGGAGUUGAAAAGACAAGGGACUGGUAUUUCAGUAAUACAGCACACCAAUUCACUGAGCAGAAACAGCUCAUUUGAGAAAUCAGAGUCGUUUGAAAGAGUAUCACCAGUUUCUUCUCAAGAGCACAACAAGGUUGCAAAGCCCCGCUCUAUGAAUACAGUUGUCAUCCAAGAGGAUAGACAUUCUCAUCUGAAUACUCCCCAGCAUCAUCAACCCCUGUCAUCAGAAGCACCUAGAGGGGAAGUUCAGGGAGGCCAAAUAGCUUCCAGUGAGAGAAGCGCACCGCUUCAGCCGUCGAGACUUGUUCGCCAGCAUAACAUCCAGGUUCCUGAAAUACUGGUCACAGAAGAACCAGACAGGGACCAAGAAAACCAAUGCAGCGAUCAGGAAAAGACAGAGAGGUUUAAUUGGCCACAGCGCAGUGAAACACUGUCAAAAUUGCCAACAGAAAAGCUUCCGCCAAAGAAGAAAAGAAUUCGCUUGGCUGAAAUGGAGCACUCGUCUGCCGAAUCAAGCGUUGACUCCACGCUUUCCAGAAGCCUAAGUCGGGAGAGUAGCUUGUCUCAUGCCUCCAGUUUCUCAGCUUCACUCGAUAAAGAUGAAACUUCAAAGGCUGAGAACCCUUCCAAAGCAGAGCUCGUCAGUAAGUCGUCAGAGUUCCUCAUGAUUCCCGCUGGCUCGCAUGCACUGGCUGUGCCUGGCCCUCAUUACCGGGAAAUGAGACGUGCCGCAUCGGAGCAAAUCAGCUGCACGCAGCCGUCGAUGGAGGUUGUGGACUACAGGAGUAAGUCUUUCGACUGUGGAAGCAUGUCUCCGUCAAAACCUGCCUCGCUCCUAGAGACAGCCGCUCCAAAAGUGUCGUCUGCAAAUGGAGUUACUGGACAUGUGCCUCUGCUAGAAAGGAGGAGGGGACCAUUUGUAAGACAGAUAUCUUUAAAUAUUGCUCCAGAAAGUCAUCAGCCUCAAGCUAAAUCGAAUUCUUCAUUUCAGACAGCUCAUGCUACGGAUGUGCCCACAGUGCCAUUGCACAGGCUGCAGACCUCCGGCAGUUCUUCGGUGGAGUUUCCAUCCAGUACUCAGCCUUCACAGACUCACUCCAGGCCUCACUCGGCAAUUCCAAAUUGUAAUCCCGUUAGCCUGUCUUCAGUUCAGCAGCCUCUAGAUCACGUGUUGAAUAAUCAAGGACAGCCAUCCUCGACGCAUCAGCCUUCCCAGACAUCGACUAAAACAUCAGCCCAUGGGGCACAACUGAGCACAUAUGCGCUCUCUUGUCAUCCUGAUGAAAAAAAGGAUUGUUUUGCUCCGAAGUAUCAACUUCAAGUUAAAACAUUACAUAUAGGUCAGCCAUACUCUUCUAAAUUGCUAAAAAAUACUUUGUCAGCUCAGGCUACUCAGGGUCAAGUUGGGGUGGACCAGAAUGCAUCCUCCUUUGAAUUGCAGACUAAACUGUCUGACAUGUCUAAUCCGUACUCUGUGCCUCCUCUGAAGCAAAUUGUCCCUAAUAACUGCAGCAGUCAAAUUCAUCCGAUUCCUCCUUUCGUGGUUCCCGUCCGCAUUCACAGCAGCGUGCCAUCCUAUGGCUUUGCAACUGUUACGCCCCUCCCUCACAUUUUGGUGACCCAGGAUCAGGUAAAUCAAUCUGUUUGCAAAACAAAUGUUGCGACGGUGCCAACGCUUGAAGGCAAAACUCAGCUGCCAAAAUCUCACAAAGAUCAUCAGAGGACUUUGCCAAAUUCAUUUGAAUUUGAAAAUUCACUACCGGAAAGCGGAACCAGAAAUUCACCUUUGUCAAGCUCUUUGAAUAUUAUUCAGAAAGUGCCAGUUAGCGGACUCUUCCCUCAACAAGAAGCUACAGCUUCAAGUAAACGAAUGCUUUCCCCAGCUAACAGUUUAGAUAUUGCCAUGGAAAAACAGCAAAAACGUGUGAAAGAUGAGAGUGGAGCUGCCUGCAUGACAGAUGCUAGACCAUUGCAUUCACUGAACGUUAGAUCAAAUGACCCUACUAGUAAGCAGAAGAAACCAGUUUUGGUAAGACAGGUUUGCACCACAGAGCCCCUUGAAAAUCACCUCUUGGAUCCUGAUGGUGUUGCCCAGCAUGAAAAAAGCAGCAAAGCUAGUACUUCAGACCUGGGGCUGCCUGACCGUCAUUCAUCUGACACUGGGGUUUCAGAAACCCUAAAGGAGUCACCAGAAUCUGAAGACCUGAAGUCUUCGGCAUCACCGGUGUUUGUAGUUAGAAAACCGUCUGAAUUGUCUCCCGUGAAUAAUCAGAGUUCUCUUCUCAAGGCUGUAAGUAGCAGCCAAGAAAGAAGGUCCCCAGGUAGCAGUAAUGAGAGCAAGCACAUCAGUAGCCAGGGCCAAGCAAAGCCUGUGACUACCUUGGCCGCGAUGAAUGCGGGAGAAAUGCAGAGGUUGUCGUUUCCAAGCCUCAAGACCUCAACGAGUUUUACCUGGUGUUACCUCUUGAAGAGAAAACCAUUGCAUCUGCUGCAAAACGAUCAGAAAAUCUCAGCCUAUUCUACCUGGACCAUUAGCCCCAACAAUCCCAAUCCACUUGGUUUGUCGACAAAGGUGGCUCUCUCCCUCCUCAAUUCAAAACAAAAAGUUGAAAAACCACUGUACACUCAAGCCAGAACUACUCAUCCCAGAUCCGAUGUAUUGGUGUAUUCAAGCAAGUGGAAGAACAGCUUAACCAAGCGAGCAUUAAAUAGAAAAAAAUUGACUGCAACUGAAUUCAGCAAUAAGGAAAACUCUGAAUCAAGCACUGAGCAUGAUAAAGAAAACUCCUUUGUCAAAACUGAACCAAGAAGAAUUAAAAUAUUUGAUGGAGGGUACAAAUCAAAUGAAGACUAUGUGUAUGUUCGGGGGAGAGGGAGAGGGAAGUACAUCUGUGAAGAAUGUGGAAUACGUUGCAAGAAGCCCAGCAUGCUGAAGAAGCAUAUUCGCACACACACCGAUGUCCGUCCUUACCAUUGCAAUUACUGCAACUUUUCCUUCAAAACUAAAGGAAAUUUAACAAAACAUAUGAAGUCAAAGGCACAUAGCAAGAAAUGCAUGGAUUUGGGAGUCUCGGUAGGCUUAAUAGAUGACCAGGAUGGAGAAGAAGAAUUCGGUGAGAAGCAAAGAUUUGGCUAUGACCGGUCAGGAUAUGAUGUGGAGGAGUCUGAUGGUGCGGAUGAAGAUGAAAAUGACAAUGAAGACGAUGAUGAAGACAGUCAGGCUGAGUCAGUCCUAUCCACAACCCCCUCGGUGACGGCCAGCCCCCAGCAUCACCCCUCUCGACAUGGCCUGCAGGACACCCCUGGUGCUGAUGAAGACAUCAGGCUUCCAGACUGUUUUUCUGGGGUUCACACGGACUCUAUGGAUGGUCUGCCAAAAGCGCUGCUGACGAAGAUGACCGUCCUUAGCGCAGUCCAGUCGGUUAGCAGGACCUCCAGGUCACCAGCAGAAUUCACCCAUCAGGAAGCACAUGAGGAUAAAGCCCAGGAGAGAGGAGCGGGUCCCCACAGUGCUGGGGAUGUUGCUCCUACAUCUCCAGGUCGCCAGAUGUCUGUGGACUACCCCGAUCCAGAAGUAGCCUUGGGCCACUCCUUACUAUCAACUGCAGCUCUUGCAAAGAGCACGCCCUCCGUCAGCUCCCCCUCCUCGCCGGUGGACCGCAGCAUGCCGACGACAGCGCCGUCCUCCUACGCCGAAAUCCCAGAGGAGAAGCUGGCCGGGUGCCCGCAGCAGGCCACCGAGCUGAGGGCUCCCCAGACUCACCUCUUCAGCCACCUCCCCCUCCAUUCCCAGCGGCAAGCCAAGGCACCCUAUGGCACGCCGGCACCGCUCGGGGGGAUUCAGGUGGUCCCCGCCGGCCUGGCCACCUACUCCACCUUCGUUCCCAUCCAGGCGGGGCCGGUGCAGCUCACUAUCCCUGCCGUGAGCGUGAUCCACAGAACUACCAGCGCCCUCGGCGAGACGGGCGGCCCGGCCGCCGGCGCUGCCGCCGCCCCCAAUCCCGUGGGAAUCGCCGAGGUGAACAGCGUCGUGCCCUGCAUUCCCAUCGGCCAGGUGAGCGUGCCGGGCAUCCAGGGCCUCGGGGCGCCCAGCCUGCAUCCUCUGCCGCCGCUGGGCAUGGAGACGGUAAACAUCUUGGGCCUGGCGAACGCAAACAUCGCCCCGCAGAUGCGGCCUCCGGGAAUUACCCUCAACGCCGUGGGCCUCCAGGUUUUGGCGGCUGGCGCGGCCCCGCAGGGCAGCCCCAGCCCGCAGGCCCACAUUCCCAGCUUGCAGAUACUGAACAUCGCCCUGCCCACCCUCAUCCCCUCCGUCAGCCCCCUGGGCACCGAGGGGCAAGGAGCCUCCGAGGUGCCCGCCUCAGGCAGCGAGGCCCAGCUGGAGCCAGCACCCAUUGGCUUCCCCACUGCCGAGGUCGGCCAGGCCGGCAGGGCCGCUUCUCCGUCUCCUCCUCCUCCUCCUCCUCCUCCUCCUCAGCGGUACGGUGGGAAGAGCCAUCCCGAGCCCGCCCCACCGCUGACCGACAGCCCGGGGAAAGCGGAUCCUGAAAAGACUGACCUGGCGAACCCGGCCAAGCCAAAGCGCGAUGUCCCUUCCCUCCCAGUGAAGAGGGCCGCCCCGGCAGAGCCCCGCUCCAAGGCGAAUCCCGAGGCGUUAACCAAGUCCUCCCCGGUCCACCGAACUGUUUCCCCGGACAGACAGGUGUUUUGAAGACAUCAGGGUGAAGAGGUGGAAGCAGUAUCUUGGAGAAUAAGAAUGACAAGACAACAGAUAUGUCAUAAAGAGGAAUGUUAAGACAUGUGUCAUUUGUGUUACAGAGCAAGAGCUCACACACCUAAUGCUGAUUAAUUCUGCUGGACUGGGUAACUGGCUCCCCUGUGGAUAUCCUGUUUUCCUGUGAAUCAUCGUUCUUCCUUGAGACAUCCUCCAACUCAGAUCAAAGAUCCAGAAUGUAUUAGAUAUGAAGACAUCAGACAGCUCAAACAUAUUAGAAAAGACACACACAAAGAAAAGCAUCCCAGUUUCUCCCUCCUGUCCUGCUGAAAAUUGGCAUGGUGAACACAAUCCUAAGCAAUAAAAGAAACAGCAGGCAGGAAAAAAAAAGGAGAAAAAAAAAAAGAGAGGCUUUGGAAAUCAUUUAGUUUACACAGAAUCUCCUACAAAUUACCCUUUCGAAGUAUUUGCACUUUUGUACUUACUUAGUUCUCCCUUGCAGUUGGAAGCUCUUCAGGCUAGAUCCUCAUCUGAUGGAAGAUGACAUCCGUAAGCUUCAGCAGAGCUGCACCGACUGCGCAGCGGAGCACUUGGUACUAUCCAUUUAAGUAUUGAGCCUUGCCUACAAACACGCAAAUUAAAGGAACAUGAAAACACAUGAUCUGUUUUUUUCACGUUUAUGCAGUCUGUUGUGUUCUUGAUGGUUUUAUUCGAUUUUCCAUUUUUCCAUACGAACAACUGAAAAGAUUCUAUACCAGUGAAGUGCCAAAACCUAAGGUCGUGAGGUCAAACUAGAUUAUCUGAGAGUAGUCUUUUCUCCCCUUACAAUCUUUGAACGCAGGUUUUAUCUGAUAAAGCAGUUAAAGCUGAAACCAUGACAUGUCUUCAUUUCAGCAGCUUUUGAUCUUGAAGAUUGCACAAAUAAUUAGUCUUUUAAGAUUCUGAACUUUUUUUAAAAAUAGAUUUUUAAACUCUCCUUUUAAUGGGUGUUUUUUAAUCCUUAUGUUUAAGUGUAAGAGCCGUGUUUGAUCCAAGACAACAGACAAUGUGUUUAAAUAGUUGGAGAGACCAUUUUUAUGGAAGUGUUUGAACAAUAUAUUGUGUUUUUCAAGAAGUUGUUCCUCCAGUCAGUGGAAAUAGCUCAAUGAAGGACUAAAGGACUGUCCUUUUUCUGUCAUUAAGCUCAUAUAAAAGGAAGACAAAAUGUGCUGCUCUUACAUCUUAGAGUGGAUUGUAUUGGGCUUUUAGUCCUACACUUUUCUUGUAUUAGCCUCUGUGCUUGGAGGCGAAAAGAAACACUUUUAACCUUACGCACUGUGAACACUCGCUGGAAGGCAAUGGAGGGAAGAAUACCCAGCAGGAAUACACUCUGCAAAUACUCAGCAAAAUCAUUAGAUCCGCAUAUUCUUAAUCAAUGAGAAUUAAGGGUGUUGUUUUUAAUCCAGACUAUAGUUUGUCCGAGUCCUUAGGUGGGGUUCAGCUGUUGAUGUUUUCUUCGAGGAAAAAUGUCAGCAAGGUCUGAUGCCGAGUUGUUCUCUGCCCCCCCAAAAAACCCCGGUGUAGGCGUAUCAGCAUGCGGCACGGUUGUGAGAGGCACGUGAACUCAGACCAGAGUUUGCCCCUCGCUGCAAUGUCCCUGGUUGGGGCAGCUGUCAGGGCCACUGCAACCAUCCGAGGAUGGCGGGUCUGGGUUUGAAGGAAGAAGGGCCAAAUAACAUGAAAAAGAUUCUCCUUCUGCAUAGAGACAGAAACCUCAUUGUCCAGUCCUGAGAAGAAAUGGAUAAUCUUUUCAUUUUUCAUAAUCUAUGGUAUUUCUGUUGUUUUCGUGACCUUCUGCCUUUAGUUGGACCAUGUAAUUAGCAAUGCAUCACAAAUGACUGGUAACAUCGUUUUCCAACAUUCGAGAGAAAGAGGAGCGGGCAGUUGCUGGUCUGUCCAAUCUGGAAAGCAGGUUUUAGGUGGCAGGUAAGGAUGCCAGAACGAGUGGUUGAAACUCUGCUGGGCAUGUAGGAUAUUAUACCUGAUCCUCUGCCUCACCUGAUGCUGUCACUUCAUCCAGGGCAGUGGUGAGGCAGCAGAGGACUCAUGGCUUUUUAACCAGGUGCCAGCUAGUGCCUUGAAAGAGUUCAAACUCCUACUUCAUCCUAUUAGGGACCAUUUAUUGAGCACAUUUUGUGUUUUGUGUGUGUACGAUAAUGCAAUUUUUGUCAGCCCCAUGUUGGAGUGCUGACCAGACUGUAAGCUGUCUGCAUAAUGAUGGUGCCAAACUGGGGGGAAAUAGAGCUCAAUCUAGGUUUGUGCACGUCUCUCUAGGAAUUAUCUUGUGACUUUCUGGCACUGGCAUAAAAAAGGGAGCUGUCUGGGAAGCAGUUGGACUUUGGUGCUUUGGAGGGUGAGGGAGAAUACUUUUAAAAUAAUUGUUUGGGCCAGAAAAUUAAGACAAAGCCUGGCCUCAGUGUUGUCAGGAGCAACCUCCUACUGCCUUCAGGAGGGCCAGGAUUUGACUCAUGGAUUUUUAAGGCAUGGGUUUUCCUGGCAUGAUGGGGCUUGCUGUUAAUGACACCGGUAAGUGGUUUUUUGUGUUUUUUUUUUUUUAACCUGGCAUUGCUCCUUCAAGCAAAUUAAAGUCGAUACAUUUGCAUUUCUACAUGUCAUUAACCCAGACACCUACUGCAGGGCCUAAAGCUCGUGUCUGCUGGCACGACUAAAUCCUACUAAUGCGCUUUUCCUAAUGCACUGAGGGAAUCUGGAGUCUCUCCUUUUGAAGCUGACUUGCUAUUUUGACUAAUUGCUUCUAGUAACAGUUAAUAGCAUUUUGCAAAGGCACUUCAUCUGCUGACAGCAGAUUGAUGUAAGGAAGGGACACAGUUCACGUUUCCAAAGGGAGCAUCGGGAAACCCAUUACCAGCUUCAUUAAUCUGUUAAUAAUAAAAUUAAAGUACA